rnacentral:lncRNA from 1 species
CGUCCUGCGAUCGGCAGAUAGAAAUAAGGGAAGGCAGCUGGGACGCAGGAGCAUCCGAGGGGAGAGACGAGAGAAACGUAGCUAAGUUUGCACGCGGUUACACAGUGACAACUACUGAUCUGACUACAUACUUAUGUGCCUUACAGUACACAAAGUGACGCAAAUAAAGAAGCCAACUAGUUACUGCUUUGAUCCCGUCGCGGUGGUGCAGACGGCGAGGCAGGCGAGGUAGAAGAUGGCCGAGUCCGCGGCGUCGCCCCGGCCGUCGCCGCCGGAGCAGAGGUAGCCGCGCUUGAAGCGGCGGCGGCCCUGCUGCUCGCUGCACCGCAGCACCUGCGCCUUGAUCGCCAUGAUCGCGUCGCGCCUCCCCUUGUCCUUCCUCGCCGUCUCCGUGGCUGCUUGCUCGCUCGCGGCAGAGCCGCCAUGCCUGACGACCCUCUGCACCAUUUCCCCGCGUGGCCUCUGGAUAUGGAUUUGGACACCGUUGGUAUUUUCUUUACCUGAGCCU